UUCUAUGGCCACACCACCCUGAAUGCACCUGAUCUCUUCUAUCUCAGAGCUAAGCAGGGUGGGGCCUGGUUAGUACUUGGAUGGGAGAAAACGCAAAUCAACAGCACAAUAACAA
rnacentral:rRNA from 1 species